rnacentral:tRNA from 1 species
UCCCUGGUGGUUCAGUGGUUAAGACUCUGCACUUCCACUACAGGGGACACAGGUUCCAUCCCUGGUUGGGGAA